UACAUCCUGCGAUGUACGUUUCGGUUAUUCGUUGUUUUGAACCAAUGAUGAUGUCUUCGGGAGAUCUACACAGAAUGUUGCUGAAACGCCCUGUCUAUACGACAUGGGGACUUCAAAUAAUACAUUAUUGCGGUCACCCACCUGCUAAGCAGGUUCAUAAGACAAUGUAGCCGGACGGCAUGGCGGGUUCCAU
rnacentral:other from 1 species